GACGAACGCUGGCGGCGUGCCUAAUACAUGCAAGUCGAACGCAGUGGGGACGGGUGAGUAACACGUGGCUAACCUCCCAUCAGAGGGGAUAACACUUGAAAACAGGUGCUAAACCGAUACUGAUGGAUGGAGCCGCGGUGCAUUAGCUAGUUGGUGAGGUAACGGCUCACCAAGGCAACGAUGCAUAGCCGACCGGAGAGGGUGAUAGGCAACACGGGGAUUGAGACACGGCGCAGACUCCGACGGGAGGAAGCAGUAGGGAAUUUGCGGCAAUGGACGAAAGUCUGACCGAGCAACGCCGCGGGAGUGAAGAAGGUUUUCGGAUCGUAAAACUCUGUUGUUAGAGAAGCGGUAUCUAACCAGAAAGCCACGGCUAACUACGUGCCAGCAGCCGCGGUAAUUC
rnacentral:rRNA from 1 species